rnacentral:rRNA from 1 species
UACGGAGGGUGCAAGCGUUAAUCGGAAUUACUGGGCGUAAAGCGCGCGUAGGUGGUUUGUUAAGUUGGAUGUGAAAGCCCCGGGCUCAACCUGGGAACUGCAUCCAAAACUGGCAAGCUAGAGUACGGUAGAGGGUGGUGGAAUUUCCUGUGUAGCGGUGAAAUGCGUAGAUAUAGGAAGGAACACCAGUGGCGAAGGCGACCACCUGGACUGAUACUGACACUGAGGUGCGAAAGCGUGGGGAGCAAACAGG